UACGUAGGGGGCGAGCGUUGUCCGGAUUCAUUGGGCGUAAAGAGCUCGUAGGCGGCUUGGCAAGUCGGAUGUGAAAACUCCAGGCUCAACCUGGAGCCGCCAUUCGAUACUGCUAUGGCUAGAGUCCGGUAGGGGAGUGUGGAAUUCCCGGUGUAGCGGUGAAAUGCGCAGAUAUCGGGAGGAACACCGAUGGCGAAGGCAGCACUCUGGGCCGGCACUGACGCUGAGGAGCGAAAGCAUGGGGAGCGAACAGG
rnacentral:rRNA from 1 species